rnacentral:rRNA from 1 species
UACGGAGGAUGCAAGCGUUAUCCGGAUUUAUUGGGUUUAAAGGGUGCGCAGGUGGUUUAAUAAGUCAGUGGUGAAAGUCUGCCGCUUAACGGUAGGAUUGCCAUUGAUACUGUUGGACUUGAAUAUGGAUGAGGUAGGCGGAAUGUGUAGUGUAGCGGUGAAAUGCUUAGAUAUUACACAGAACACCGAUUGCGAAGGCAGCUUACUAAUCCAUGAUUGACGCUGAGGCACGAAAGCGUGGGGAGUCAAACAGGAUUA